UAUAUAACUGCGUACUAUUGCUCGGUGCCGCCCGCUUAUCUAAAUGAAACGAAAUUGCAUUUUUGUUUAUUUUAGGUUUGUCAUAAGUUUCAAGUAUCCGACUGUGAAAAUUACUAAGAAAAAACUCUUGAAUAAGAAGAAGUGGCUCCAGAGGGCGUGACAGGUACUUUGGUCCACUCCGAGAAGCCAGCCUCCCGGUACCAUAUCGUGUAGUCCUGCUUAUAGUCCGGCCCGCCCGCGUACCCCGGCUGCCAGCGUAGAGUUACCUGCAACAGUGUGACGGACCCUAGUAAGAAGAUUUCUGUGACAUCUUCUUACACAUGAUAAGACGGUCAAGGGGAAGAGUGCAGGCCGUCGGAAGCAGCUAUUGG